ACGGAUAUUUAGAAAGAUGUUACAAGAAAAUAAUAAAAUUGUUCCUAUAAAAUACAUGAACCACCAAGCAACUUAGGAUAAAGAUAAUGCAGCAUCUGUUUACUAUAAUAUCAACACACGAUAAUUUCAGCUGCUUCCUGUGGUGUCGUGCUAUUUGUCAAAGAACUUAUAAUUAUGAAGGAGAAAGUACGUGUUGCUCCUUUAUAAAUUCAGAUCAAUGACCUGAAAUUGUUUUCUUCAAGUUAAUGAAUGUGUCUUAUGAAUAUGUUGAUACUUAACAGGAUUUCUGCGUUUCACCUGAAAGUUGCUAAUUAACCAUCCGAAUUUCAUGAAGUUGACAAAUAUAAACCAAAUAAUCAAUUUCAAAAUAUAACCUAUAAGGAAAACAUGUUUGCCUAAUGUUCAGUAGCAAAUAUGUUUAAUGAAUAUUGAGGACGAGGGCACUUCUUGAUUUAUUCAGUUUACCACGAUACUGGAUACCAAGACUUGAAAAAACACUUAAAAGAAUGGCACUUUGCCCACUCCUAUGGACUCCCAUGUAUGUUCAAAAACGCAGUCUUGAGACGUAUAUCAUAUUCAAGGUCUUUUGAAUGGAAAGACAGACGGAUGGACGGACUGACAGAUGGA
rnacentral:lncRNA from 1 species